UACGCAUUCAAAUUUUCAUUCCAAUUUCGAUUUUGAUUCCGAUUUCGAUCACGAACCAAACGCUUCGGAAGAUUCGGCUAUUCCAAUUCUGAUUCCAAGCCAUUCUGAUUUAUAUUCUUAUUCCGAUUUCGAUUACGAAUCCAACACUCCCUAAAAAUAGUUGAUCGAAGAAAAAUGAAUCUGAAAAAGAGAAUCAAAUGUAAUAUUUUAGAACAUGGAAAUUAAC
rnacentral:lncRNA from 1 species